UCUAAGGAGCACCACGAUGAACACUCCCAAUUGGUGGGGGUGUGGGCCGUGAGGAGUUCUCGCCUGUAGUGGGUGGGAGCUGGGUGCGCGACAACAAAUCGUCUUUCGCUUUCCCCGGUUUGGGGGUGCAAAGGGCAGCAUUGGCGCCAAACACACUGUUGGGUCCUGAGACAACACCUGCUGUUGUCCUGGCCGUUGGUGGUCAGGGGGGUGUUGUUGCCUCACUUGGUGGUGGGGUGUGGUGUUUGAUUUGUGGAUAGUGGUUGCGAGCAUCUAAGCAAAAGUGCUGAUUUUUUAUGCAUGUUUUGUUGAGUUGUUUUCUUGUGUUUGUAAAUGUUUAACGGCACAUGGUGGAUGCCUUGACAUCAGGAGCCCAUGAACGACGUGGGAGGCUGCGAUAUGCCUCGGGGAGCUGUCAACCGACCGUGGAUCCGAGGAUGUCCGAAUGGGGAAACCCGG
rnacentral:misc_RNA from 1 species